rnacentral:rRNA from 1 species
UGGGGAAUUUUGGACAAUGGGCGCAAGCCUGAUCCAGCCAUGCCGCGUGCGGGAAGAAGGCCUUCGGGUUGUAAACCGCUUUUGUCAGGGAAGAAACGCUCUGGGCUAAUACCCAGGGGUAAUGACGGUACCUGAAGAAUAAGCACCGGCUAACUACGUGCCAGCAGCCGCGGUAAUACGUAGGGUGCAAGCGUUAAUCGGAAUUACUGGGCGUAAAGCGUGCGCAGGCGGUUAUGCAAGACAGAUGUGAAAUCCCCGGGCUCAACCUGGGAACUGCAUUUGUGACUGUAUAGCUAGAGUACGGUAGAGGGGGAUGGAAUUCCGCGUGUAGCAGUGAAAUGCGUAGAUAUGCGGAGGAACACCGAUGGCGAAGGCAAUCCCCUGGAAACCUGUACUGACGCUCAUGCACGAAAGCGUGGGGAGCAAACAGGAUUAGAUACCCUAGUAGUCCCUGAGCGGGCUGGCAAGGCGCAU